AGCAGCCGCGGUAAUUCCAGCUCCAAUAGCGUAUAUUAAAGUUGUUGCAGUUAAAAAGCUCGUAGUUGAAUUUCGGGGUUAGUAGGUUGGUCAUGCCUCUGGUAUGUACUGAUCUCACUGAUUCCUCCCUCUUGACGAACUGUAAUGUCAUUAAUUUGGUGUUGCAGGAAAUCAGGACUGUUGCUUUGAAAAAAUUAGAGUGUUUAAAGCAGGCUAAGGCUUGAAUACAUUAGCAUGGAAUAAUGAAAUAGGACGUUUGAUCCUAUUUUGUUGGUUUCUAGGAUUGACGUAAUGAUUAAUAGGGAUAGUUGGGGGCAUUAGUAUUCAAUUGUCAGAGGUGAAAUUCUUGGAUUUAUUGAAGACUAACUACUGCGAAAGCAUUUGCCAAGGAUGUUUUCAUUAAUCAAGAACGUAAGUUAGGGGAUCGAAGACGAUCAGAUACCGUCGUAGUCUUAACCAUAAACUAUGCCGACUAGGGAUCGGAUGAUGUUAAUUAUUUAAUGACUCA
rnacentral:rRNA from 1 species